rnacentral:rRNA from 1 species
AUUGAACGCUGGCGGCAGGCUUAACACAUGCAAGUCGAGCGGGGUGAUGGUGCUUGCACUAUCACUUAGCGGCGGACGGGUGAGUAAUGCUUAGGAAUCUGCCUAUUAGUGGGGGACAACAUCUCGAAAGGGAUGCUGAUACCGCAUACGUCCUACGGGAGAAAGCAGGGGAUCACUUGUGACCUUGCGCUAACAGAUGAGCCUAAGUCGGAUUAGCUAGUUGGUGGGGUAAAGGCCUACCAAGGCGACGAUCUGUAGCGGGUCUGAGAGGAUGAUCCGCCACACUGGGACUGAGACACGGCCCAGACUCCUACGGGAGGCAGCAGUGGGGAAUAUUGGACAAUGGGGGGAACCCUGAUCCAGCCAUGCCGCGUGUGUGAAGAAGGCCUUAUGGUUGUAAAGCACUUUAAGCGAGGAGGAGGCUCUUUUGGUUAAUACCCAAGAUGAGUGGACGUUACUCGCAGAAUAAGCACCGGCUAACUCUGUGCCAGCCGCCGCAGUAA